CUCAAAGGAAUUGACGGGGGCCCGCACAAGCAGCGGAGCGUGUGGUUUAAUUCGAUGCUACGCGAAGAACCUUACCCGGGUUUGACAUACAGGUAGUAGGGAACUGAAAGGGGACCGACCCUUCGGGGAGCCUGAACAGGUGCUGCAUGGCUGUCGUCAGCUCGUGUCGUGAGAUGUCCGGUUAAGUCCGGUAACGAGCGCAACCCUUGCCGUAUGUUACAAGUGUCAUACGGGACUGCCGGUAUCAAGCCGGAGGAAGGUGGGGAUGACGUCAAGUCAGCAUGGCCUUUAUAUCCGGGGCUACACACACGCUACAAUGGUCAGUACAAUAGGUUGCAAAGCCGCGAGGUGGAGCCAAUCCAUAAAGCUGGCCUCAGUUCAGAUUGCAGGCUGCAACUCGCCUGCAUGAAGUUGGAGUUGCUAGUAACCGCGCGUCAGCCAUAGUGCGGUGAAUACGUUCCCGGGCCUUGUACACACCGCCCGUCACGUCAUGGGAGCUG
rnacentral:rRNA from 1 species